GUAGUCGUGGCUGAGUGGCUAAGGCGAUGGACUAGAAAUCCAUUGGAAUCUUCCCGCGUAGGUUCGAAUCCUACCGAGUACG
rnacentral:tRNA from 13 species